CCUUAUAAAAGUAUUCCCCCUGCUGAGGUAUAUGGCUUUUUAUUCCUAUGUGAUUGCUUUCCUAAUUCACAUAGGGCAGAAAGCCAUGUGCUGCACAGGGGACAAGCGUCUCUGUAUGUU
rnacentral:pre_miRNA from 14 species